rnacentral:rRNA from 1 species
AGCAGCCGCGGUAAUUCCAGCUCCAAUAGCGUAUAUUAAAGUUGUUGCAGUUAAAAAAGCUCGUAGUUGAAUUUCGGGAUUGACGUGACGGUCGUGCCUUAAGGGGUAUGAACUGUCGCCGUUGAUUUCUCACCUUCUGGAGAAGCUCGAUGUCCUUAAUUGGAUGUCUUGUGGAACCAGGACCUUUACCUUGAAAAAUUAGAGUGUUUAAAGCAGGCAUUUUGCUCGAAUACAUUAGCAUGGAAUAAUAGAAUAGGACGGCAUGGUUCUAUUUUGUUGGUUUCUAGGAUCACCGUAAUGAUUAAUAGGGAUAGUUGGGGGCAUUAGUAUUCAAUUGUCAGAGGUGAAAUUCUUGGAUUUAUUGAAGACUAACUACUGCGAAAGCAUUUGCCAAGGAUGUUUUCAUUAAAUCUAAGAACGAAAGUUAGGGGAUCGAAGACGAUCAGAUACCGUCGUAGUCUUAACCAUAAACUAUGCCGACUAGGAAUCAGA